AUCGGUGGUGGCUAUAGUGCAGCCGCGGCCGGCCCCUCGCCGCCCACGCUGGAGGUCCCCGCGCGGCCUCCCACGGCCACGGCCGCCCUGCUCUCACCUCGCCCUGCUCUCACCUCGCCCUGCGGCGGCUGGCGGGACGUGUGUCCGCCGACCCGCUGGCUGGGCAGAGAUCCCCAGAUACAUAUUUUGCUCCAUGUGGCUUGUUGAACUCAGAAGAGGACCCUCUCUUGGAACGAUCUGUACUCCUAUCACCCUGGUCCCAGUGGAGCAACUACUAAGAGAUGGGCAAUCGCUGAGCUACAGCAGAGCUAAAUGGACUGCAACAGGGAGAUGUGGACUUCUAAACGCCAUCUUGUAACUCUGAAGUGCCCUGCUGGUCUUUCCAAAUUAGAAGACACAACACGUAACAAAAUAACUUGAAACAAUUCCAUUAAAGAAAUAUUAUCUUCUCUUGUCUCUUUUGCUGUGAUUGACUGAAGUACUUCACCUACACUUCUGUAUGGCAACAGUUCUCAAAUUUAACUGUCAUUGCUCAUGUAUACUACUGCCAUCACAGGCUCCCUAACCAUGUUCAGUGCCCUCAGAGACUCUUCUACAUGCAAGAAGUGGCAAAAAUUUGUGUCUUAGUGUGUCGACACCACAGCAAGCACUCAGCUCAGGAAAUCAGAGUUCCAGGGAGCUCUUAAAUCCUUUUCACCAGAGCAUUUCACUACCAGAAUGAGAGCAUUAAGACUUUACCACAAAGAAGAAACACUAAGAAAUACAUGUCAAACACUGAAUCUAAAAUGGCAGAAAACAUGCAACUCUAGGAAGCUUGGAAGCUUACCAAACUGCUUAUUGAUAUUUGAAGCACAGGCAAGGGUCCUUCUUUUUGGAUAAUCACAUUGAAGACAGCUUGGAUUAUGGAGCUACACUAGGUGAAUAAGAGAAGCAAAUUUGAUUAUCUGAAUUUAGCCCAAUUUUCUGGUAAGUUAUUCAAAAGAUUUGU